GCUGCUCCUAGUACGAGAGGACCGGAGUGGACGCAUCACUGGUGUUCGGGUUGUCAUGCCAAUGGCACUGCCCGGUAGCUAAAUGCGGAAGAGAUAAGUGCUGAAAGCAUCUAAGCACGAAACUUGCCCCGAGAUGAGUUCUCCCUGAUUCCUUGAGAGUCCUGAAGGAACGUUGAAGACGACGACGUUGAUAGGCCGGGUGUGUAAGCGCAGCGAUGCGUUGAGCUAACCGGUACUAAUGAACCGUGAGGCUUAACCUUACAACGCCGAAGGUGUUU
rnacentral:rRNA from 1 species